ensembl:rRNA 5S_rRNA 5S ribosomal RNA
AUCUAUGGGCAUACCACCCUGAGUACAUGCAAUCUCAUCUGAUCUCAGAAGUUAAACAGGGUUAGUCCUGGUUAAUAUUUAAAUGGGAGAAACUUUGUACUCUUAAGCC